rnacentral:rRNA from 1 species
GAUGAACGCUAGCGGCAGGCCUAACACAUGCAAGUCGAGGGGCAGCACAGAAACAGCAAUGUUUUGGUGGCGACCGGCGGACGGGUGCGUAACGCGUAUGCAACCUACCUUUAACAGGGGGAUAACGGAGAGAACUUUCCACUAAUACCCCAUAACAUCGAUCAAGGCAUCUUGAUUGGUUGAAAACUCCGGUGGUUAAAGAUGGGCAUGCGUUGUAUUAGGUAGUUGGUGAGGUAAUGGCUCACCAAGCCUACGAUACAUAGGGGGACUGAGAGGUUAGCCCCCCAAACUGGUACUGAGACACGGACCAGAAUCCUACGGGAGGCAGCAGUGAGGAAUAUUGGUCAAUGGGGGCAACCCUGAACCAGCCAUGCCGCGUGCAGGAAGACGGCUCUAUGAGUUGUAAACUGCUUUUAAACAGGGAUAAAGCACAGUAUGUAUACUGUGUUGAAGGUACUGUAAGAAUAAGGAUCGGCUAACUCCGUGCCAGCCGCCGCGGUAA